UACGUAGGUGGCGAGCGUUGUCCGGAAUCAUUGGGCGUAAAGGGCGCGUAGGUGGCGGGACAAGCGUGCGGUGAAAGCCUGGGGCUCAACCCCGGGUCGGCCGUGCGAACUGGUUUUGCUUGAGCACUGUAGAGGCAGGCGGAAUUCCGGGUGUAGCGGUGGAAUGCGUAGAGAUCCGGAAGAACACCGGUGGCGAAGGCGGCCUGCUGGGCAGUAGCUGACACUGAGGCGCGACAGCGUGGGGAGCAAACAGGG
rnacentral:rRNA from 1 species